GGCUCCUAAGCCAGUCAGGACCAGUAAGGGAUCCCUCAGAGCUUUAUGGUGAAGCUGAACCAGGAACUAAAGGAGCCAUGUUGACCAGCACUGGAGAAUAUGCUAUUCCUGCUAUAGACGCGGAGGCCUAUGCUCUGGUAAGAAGGAACGUCCCCCUUUGUUCCUCGUGAAGCGUCAUCGUCUGAAGAUGAGGCUGAUCCAAUCCCCGAUGAGCUGCUCUGCCCCAUCUGUAACGACCUGAUGAGUGAUGCUGUUGUCAUACCCUGCUGUGGUAACCCUACUGCGACGACUGUGAGUUAACACAGGAGUUUUCAAACUUUUCUUGCCCAGGCCCCCCCGCCCCAG